rnacentral:rRNA from 1 species
GACGAACGCUGGCGGCGUGCCUAAUACAUGCAAGUUGAGCGCUGAAGGUUGGUACUUGUACCAACUGGAUGAGCAGCGAACGGGUGAGUAACGCGUGGGGAAUCUGCCUUUGAGCGGGGGAUAACAUUUGGAAACGAGUGCUAAUACCGCAUAAAAACUUUAAACACAAGUUUUAAGUUUGAAAGAUGCAAUUGCAUCACUCAAAGAUGAUCCCGCGUUGUAUUAGCUAGUUGGUGAGGUAAAGGCUCACCAAGGCGAUGAUACAUAGCCGACCUGAGAGGGUGAUCGGCCACAUUGGGACUGAGACACGGCCCAAACUCCUACGGGAGGCAGCAGUAGGGAAUCUUCGGCAAUGGACGAAAGUCUGACCGAGCAACGCCGCGUGAGUGAAGAAGGUUUUCGGAUCGUAAAACUCUGUUGGUAGAGAAGAACGUUGGUGAGAGUGGAAAGCUCAUCAAGUGACGGUAACUACCCAGAAAGGGACGGCUAACUACGUG